rnacentral:rRNA from 1 species
AACGAACGCUGGCGGCAUGCCUAACACAUGCAAGUCGAACGAGACCUCCGGGUCUAGUGGCGCACGGGUGCGUAACGCGUGGGAACCUGCCCUUAGGUUCGGAAUAACUCCCCGAAAGGGGUGCUAAUACCGGAUAAUGUCUUCGGACCAAAGAUUUAUCGCCUUUGGAUGGGCCCGCGUUGGAUUAGCUAGUUGGUAGGGUAAAAGCCUACCAAGGCGACGAUCCAUAGCUGGUCUGAGAGGAUGAUCAGCCACACUGGGACUGAGACACGGCCCAGACUCCUACGGGAGGCAGCAGUGGGGAAUAUUGGAAAGUGGGGGAAAGCAUGAUGCAGCCAUGACGCGUGAGUGAUGAAGGCCUUAGGGUUGUAAAGCUCUUUUACCCGGGAUGAUAAUGACGGUACCGGGAGAAUAAGCUCCGGCUAACUACGUG